rnacentral:rRNA from 1 species
AACGAACGCUGGCGGCAGGCCUAACACAUGCAAGUCGAACGCCCUGGCAACAGGGAGUGGCAGACGGGUGAGUAACGCGUGGGAACGUGCCCUUCGGUUCGGAAUAACUCAGGGAAACUUGAGCUAAUACCGGAUACGUGCGAGAGCAGAAAGAUUUAUCGCCGAAGGAACGGCCCGCGUCCGAUUAGCUAGUUGGUGAGGUAAUGGCUCACCAAGGCGACGAUCGGUAGCUGGUCUGAGAGGAUGAUCAGCCACACUGGGACUGAGACACGGCCCAGACUCCUACGGGAGGCAGCAGUGGGGAAUAUUGGACAAUGGGCGCAAGCCUGAUCCAGCCAUGCCGCGUGAGUGAUGAAGGCCCUAGGGUUGUAAAGCUCUUUCGCCAGGGACGAUAAUGACGGUACCUGGAUAAGAAGCCCCGACUAACUUCGUGCCAGCCGCCGCGGUAA